ACAAGUGCUCUACCACUGAGCUACAUCCCCAACCCUGUCUCUGGGAUCUUAUAUAGAGAGUGGGAAGGGGAAGGAAGGCACAUCAGACAUUCUGUCUUACACCACUUUAUGAAGUCAAAGCCAGAAGAAAAUAGCAUACUGUUCCUGCAGGCUGCUCCUUCGUAUGACUCUAGAAAGAAGAGGACCAGGCCAUAUUUCUGUCUGUAUGGGAAGCAGUCUCUCAUGCUGGAAGCUUGC